rnacentral:snRNA from 1 species
AGCUUUGCGCAGAGGCGAUAACGUGACCAAUGAGGCUCUGCCGAGGUGCGUUUAUUGCUGGUUUAUCUACGUUUUCUGGUUCUUGAGCACGAGAGCAAUGAUUUUGAUGAUUUCGCCUUUUACUGGUUUCUUGGCAUUGCUUACUGUUGUUUUCUAAUAGAAA